rnacentral:rRNA from 1 species
UGGGGAAUAUUGCACAAUGGGCGCAAGCCUGAUGCAGCCAUGCCGCGUGUAUGAAGAAGGCCUUCGGGUUGUAAAGUACUUUCAGUCGGGAGGAAGGUGGUAAGGUUAAUAACCUUAUCAAUUGACGUUACCGACAGAAGAAGCACCGGCUAACUCCGUGCCAGCAGCCGCGGUAAUACGGAGGGUGCAAGCGUUAAUCGGAAUUACUGGGCGUAAAGCGCACGCAGGCGGUUGAUUGAGUCAGAUGUGAAAUCCCCGGGCUUAACCCGGGAAUUGCAUCUGAUACUGGUCAGCUAGAGUCUUGUAGAGGGGGGUAGAAUUCCAUGUGUAGCGGUGAAAUGCGUAGAGAUGUGGAGGAAUACCGGUGGCGAAGGCGGCCCCCUGGACAAAGACUGACGCUCAGGUGCGAAAGCGUAGGGAGCAAACAGG